rnacentral:lncRNA from 1 species
AUGUUCCUGGAACUCUUCUUCCUUUUCUCUCUCUCUCUCUCUCUCUCUCUCUCUCUCUCUCUCUCUCUCUCUCUCUCUUUCUCUCUCUCUCUCUUAAACAGGGGAGAGGUAUGGAUCUUAAUGAAAACUAAAUAACUGAUAUUUCUUUUUGUGAAAAUAUUGAAUUGUCACCGUGUAAAAUUAUUACUUAGCUUUGCAUGCUAUAGAUCCUCCCUUCUUUUUUAUCAAGUUGGAAUCCGUGCAUCUUUACAAUCCCACCCCUACAUAUACUUUGACUCCCUGAUCUAUCUCUUUUUUCCAUCAUAAUCACUUAAUUACAACUCCAAUCAUGCUCACCAUGCCUGUAAUCCCAGCAGCUUGGGAGGCAAAGAAAGGAGGAUCUCCAAUUCAAAGCCAGCCUCAGCAAUAGGGAGGCAUUAAACAACUCACUAAACAACAAGUGAGACCCUGUCUCUA